rnacentral:rRNA from 1 species
UACGGAGGGGGCUAGCGUUGUUCGGAAUUACUGGGCGUAAAGCGCGUGUAGGCUGACCUUCAAGUCGGACGUGAAAUCCCUGAGCUCAACUCAGGAACUGCAUCCGAAACUGAAGGCCUAGAGUAGUGGAGAGGGAAGCAGAAUUCCUGGUGUAGAGGUGAAAUUCGUAGAUAUCAUGAGGAAGACCAGUGGCGAAGGCGGGUCUCUGGACAGUUCCUGACACUGAGACACGAAGGCCAGGGGAGCAAACGGG